CCUACGGGAGGCAGCAGUGAGGAAUAUUGGUCAAUGGACGAGAGUCUGAACCAGCCAAGUAGCGUGAAGGAUGACUGCCCUAUGGGUUGUAAACUUCUUUUAUAUGGGAAUAAAAUGUUCCAUGUCUGUGAUUUUGUCUGUACCAUAUGAAUAAGGAUCGGCUAACUCCGUGCCAGCAGCCGCGGUAAUACGGAGGUUUAGAGCGUUAUCCGGAUUUAUUGGGUUUAAAGGGAGCGUAGGUGGAUUGUUAAGUCAGUUGUGAAAGUUUGCGGCUCAACCGUAAAAUUGCAGUUGAAACUGGCAGUCUUGAGUACAGUAGAGGUGAGCGGAAUUCGUGGUGUAGCGGUGAAAUGCUUAGAUAUCAGGAAGAACACCGAUGGCGAAGGCAGCUCACUGGACUGCAACUGACAGUGAGGCUCGAAAGUGUGGGGAGCAAACAGGAUUAGAUACCCGAGUAGUC
rnacentral:rRNA from 1 species